UACCCCUGUAGACAUUUCUGCCAUCCAUAACUUGAAAUAGGCUUCUUGUUUAUGUUUAUGUCUGUAAACACAUGCUUAAUGUUUGAUGCAUUUUGAUUUUAAAAACACAAAAUCAAGGUAAAAGUAAUAAUAGAUGUAACACCUGCUGUUGAUAUCAAACGUUGAAUGUUGUACAAGAACCAAAAGUUAGAAGUGCGACAGUUUUAGUUCUAGUAUUAGGUUUGACACUAAAAUUGUCUAUUUACCUGUAGUUGCGCGGCCAAGCGUAGUUUUCAGUUAGAGAUAUCGGCAACCCACAUCAUGCUUGCUGUGUGAUCUGUUGGUGCUGUCUCAAAUAUUCAUUUAAGUUCAGUGAUAUACUCUGACUUAACCUAUGUCACUUAACCUGACGGUUAGACAAAACUCAAUGAAAACUCUGUAAUAUCAUUUACCGUUAUUACCGUAACCGUUAUUUAUUUCAUAACUUCAGUUUUAUUUACUGCCCUUUUCAGUUACUCUCUUGUGUUGAUGAAAAACUGCACAUCAUAUUUCUGAUUCAGCUGGUUUAUGUUAUGAAAUGGUACUAAUGUCAUUCCGCUUAGUUGCCCAGUUUUCUUAGACAGCUCUUACAUAAAAACGCUCGACCUCAGGCAAAAGAUAGUGCUUAUAGACGUCUUUUAAAUGUUGGAGAUCUGUCUUCCCUCUACACAACUUGUUUAAAAGCUGUCGUGGGUUGACACUUCAGUACAUGAUUGUUUUUUUAACAUCUAGAAUCAUUCUGUUUUAAACUAGUCUGAGUUUGUAGUAAUUUUAAUCAUUUGUUUGCAAUUUUAGGCCUCUAAGAUACUUUGCAGUUUUUGUGUUUCUCAUGUUUGAUGUUUAUAGUUGUGUGUUACACAUCAACACAUGGUCACUCCUGACCACAGAUGUUUUCCAGGAGUGUGGCUUCCAUCCAAACAUUCAUCUCAGUAGAUGUGAUAUCUGCAACUUAAGAGUGCCUUAUGGUGUCAAAGAUACUUACUCCAUAAAAUAGUGCAUAGUCGAGAACAACCAAGUGAAAUCUGUGAUUAUUAUGUUCAACAGCCAGUUCUGUUUUGAAAAAAGACUCAGCUUUCUUGUUUUUUACAAGAAGUAAUCUCAAGACAUAAGUUGUGUCUUCCAAAUAAUAAGUGAAGUGGAGUGAAGUGAAACGAAGUAAUGUUAUUCAAACUGACGUGAAGUGCCUUGAAGUGAAGUGAAGUGAUGUAGUGAUGCGAGGUGAAGUGAAGUGAAGUGAAGUGCCUCAAGCGGCAAAAAUGGAUUACCUUAUCACCACGUCAAAUGUCACCACCAACCGUCUCAAAGUGAGUAUUGAAGAUGUCUGCAGUGGCUGGUUCAUCAGUUGCUGUCUGGUGAGUCCCUUACUGUUAGAAAACUAAAGAGACUCAGUUUUUGCUGUUCUGCCUGAUUUCUGUAAAUGUUUAUUAUAUCAUUUCAAUGCAGAUAGAACUAUUCAUCAAUAUCAAUUUAUUUAUUAAUAUGUUUUAAGUUUUUAGAAAAAUUCUUCUUGUAAUUAAUGAAAAUAUUCAAAAAAAGUCUCUUUAGCUUUCAAACACAUCUUUUGAUUUCCCAACAUGCUACGAAUAACAACUCAUGAAGUGUUCAUACAAGUGUAGUGUAGGGUACUAUAAAUGAGAAGGAUGGGUAAAGGACGAUAGUGAGUAGAGGUUGACUGGUUUAUUGGAGAGAACCGCACAGAACGAGACCAGGCUGCAGACUGUUGGCCGGCUCUGAGGCACGAUCCAACUUAUAGUGUGGGCAACAGUGACACAUUGCUAGGUGGGUGUGUUCGUUCAGAAAGGGAAGCUAUUGUAGGACCUAGGGGAGGGAAGCAUGCCAGAGUGAGGAAGAAGACAAGAAAUAAAAUUACUGACUGACACUUUGUUAGCUCUGCUUUAGCUUGUCAUAUCUCCGUACCAGCAUAGAAAAACUAAAUUAAAAAAAAACCUAGUUACCGGGAGUGUAAUGCCUUAGAGGCCUGUCAAUAAUUAGAUAGCUCAUCAGGAACAAAGUUUCAUAGUUCUCUCAAAAGUUUCUCACAAAAAGGUUUUUUUUUUCUUGUGAAAAUAUUUUUUUGUAGUGUUAAGAUGUUUCUGACCUCUUCUCUUAACAUUAAUUUGUAAUUUAUUUGUAUUAACUGAACAGCUGCAUGUGUGGUGGUGGUUCCUCGUUUGUUGGUCCAUUGUUCAUUCCUUCAAACUCAGUUUUGUGUGUAAGACAGCCUAUCAGGCGUACAAGCCGGGGGUUAAGUUCAAGCACAGAUUUUGCCCAUUCCGUACGUGCCAACCUCAGACCCACACAUAUUAGUUUUAGACAAUCAAUCAAACUUGCUAGAAAAUUUGAGUUGUUUUUUUCUUCUUGUAACUAAUGUUAAACCAAUAGUUCUUUUGAGAAAUAACUAAAGUAUGCCAUAAAAUCUGGUAUUCUAACAACAUUUUCACCUUACAGCAAGGCAAAGAUGCAAGUCUAUUUUGAAUAAAUUUUCAGUAUUUGCUUAAAUGUAGGUAGUUUUUAAACCAAUUAAUUUUUGCAAGGGCCCAAGCAACCCUUUUUAUGUGUCCCUCUCCCCUGCUUCACAAACCUGUACAGACAGGCAUCAAGAGCAACAACUUGAUCCUGCACCCAAAUUUCCCAUGCUUUCUUCUCUUUAUUUUCGCUUUAAGUGUGAGCAACGGAAACGGUUUCCUAGUUAUACAUUUUUCUUUUUUAUGGAAGGAGGGAGCUUUUUUGUUUUUCUAUGUCAUGGGAAGAGUGUAAUUUGAUUGAAGCCGAUCUUACUCAUGUAUUUUACAAAUUUAUUAUUUUGGAUGUAUCAUGAGGAUAAGUAGCCUGGUAAAAAUGAGACAGUUAACCCAUGGUUCACCUGAUAGAGUUAGGACUAUUCAGAGGCAACUCUACAUUUGCAUGUUUUUUUUUUUUCAGGAUAGAUAGAUCUUUUUCAAUGUAGGUGCCACUUUUGGUUUUGCAUGCAUUGUCUUCUCCCUGUAUGUUUGCACUUGUUUUCUGUUUUGUUUUAUUCUUUAUUUUGUUCAUGUCAGGAUUUGUGUUUCCUUGGGAUGUUGGGCAUAUUAUUUGUGUGGAAUGGGUUGUAUGCAAUCCAUCCUUACUUCAAGUGAUAAUCUAUCUGUGCAACUUAUUUAAGUGAAUUCCUCUUUAUAAAAUUUUGGUGUAACCCAUCGUAAUGUUUACUCUUUUGCAUUGUGUUUGGUAAGAGAUGAGUCAUAUUGCGGUAACUUUUCAUUUACUGUUUUGGCUUUCAUUUUCAUAAGUUACUAUUAAGUUAUUUUCUUUGUCUUUCGCAUCUUAUCCAUUUGUGGGUUGCCUUGCCAAAACCUCGCUAUUAUUUCAAAGAAGUUAAAAGUUUUCAUUAAGUUACACAAAAAAGUUGGAACUUCUUGUAACAAUCUGAAACAAUGAAAUUCUAUGAAAUUAAAUUGUUUUUUUUUUUUUUAAAGUUCCGGAGUUAAGAAAACAACAGUCAGAGGUUUUCUUUUUCACCAAUUUUUUAAAGUACUUAUUUUACCACACAUCUGUGGACAUCUUCUUGGAAAUGGGUUUUGAUGACAGGUUUCUUUUUGUAAGUUUGUACUUACAUUUCAUGUGAUCUUUUUUUGUUACCUUGCCAUAGGUGCAAAUUAUGUAUAUUUCCAAAUGAGAGAAGAAAUAAAAGUGGAGGUGGAAUUCUUAUGA